AUAAACGUCCCAGUUCGGAUUGUAGUCUGCAACCCGACUACAUGAAGCUGGAAUCGCUAGUAAUCGCGAAUCAGAAUGUCGCGGUGAAUACGUUCCCGGGUCUUGUACACACCGCCCGUCACACCAUGGGAGUCGGAAAUGCCCGAAGUCAGUGACCCAACCGUAAGGAGGGAGCUGCCGAAGGUGGAGCCGGUAACUGGGGUGAAGUCGUAACAAGGUACC
rnacentral:rRNA from 1 species